AUGCAACCAUCAGACUUGUUUUCAGAUGUCCCACUGCACCCUGACGAUAGGAGCCAAACAGGUCUAUGUGGUUGUCAACCAGAUAGAGCAACUGGUCUGGUCUGUCGCAGGGAGACCCAGCAACUUGUCACCAUUGAGGUGAGGCCAGCCAGAUUGCAAACACAGGCAAAAAAGGAUGGCAAUGUUGCUGCAGAUCCAGUGCUUUUUGAAUCUCCAACUUAUACUGCACCUUGCCAGCAGUGUCUACUGAAUUUGAAACUCAGACUUGCCAAUCAAGUGUAUCUGCACAACAAAGUUUAG
rnacentral:rRNA from 1 species